rnacentral:lncRNA from 10 species
GUCAGACAGGCCUUGUUUUGUCCCAGGAAGAACAUUCCAACACAGACCACAACACCUAUGGACCUGGAAAACAUUGUGCUCAGUGAAAGAAGCCAGACACAGAAGGACAAUGUUGUAUGAGGGACACAUUCCAGCAAAAAGACACAAAGUGACAGAAUGGCUGCCUUUGAGUGGGGGUGAGAAGAGGUGGAUGGCAGGUACCAGAAGAGAAGGGAAUAAAUAUAUGAAGAAAUACAACCCCCUCGGGCAGUGCCUGGCACAGCAUAAAUGCCCAGGAAAAAGAGGCCCAGUUGCUUACGUUCCCGGCGACAGGGCCGGGACCAGCGCCGGCUUCCUGGUGAAGGAGGCCACCCUUUCCUCUUGAGGGGUCUGAGUAUGCAUGUCAGCACCCGGUGGGCACCCAGCACCCAGCUGACCAGGGGCCUUCACCUCUGUGGGGGUUACCGGCCUGGCCCUGAGAACUGGAUGAAAGCUGGAAUAAUUC